UACGUAGGUCCCGAGCGUUGUCCGGAUUUAUUGGGCGUAAAGCGAGCGCAGGUGGUUUAUUAAGUCUGGUGUAAAAGGCAGUGGCUCAACCAUUGUAUGCAUUGGAAACUGGUAGACUUGAGUGCAGGAGAGGAGAGUGGAAUUCCAUGUGUAGCGGUGAAAUGCGUAGAUAUAUGGAGGAACACCGGUGGCGAAAGCGGCUCUCUGGCCUGUAACUGACACUGAGGCUCGAAAGCGUAGGGAACAAACAGG
rnacentral:rRNA from 1 species